rnacentral:misc_RNA from 12 species
AGAGAGUGAGAGAGAGAGAGAGAGAGAGAGAGAGAUGGCAAAAGAUUGUUAGAUAAAAGCAUUCGGGCUCAACUAGAAUUCUCGAACCUUUAAACUCUUUCUCUCUGUCUCUCUCUCUCUCUCUCUCUCUCUGUCUUAAU